GACGAACGCUGGCGGCGUGCUUAACACAUGCAAGUCGAACGAAGAGCGAUGGAAGCUUGCUUCUAUCAAUCUUAGUGGCGAACGGGUGAGUAACGCGUAAUCAACCUGCCCUUCAGAGGGGGACAACAGUUGGAAACGACUGCUAAUACCGCAUACGAUCUAAUCUCGGCAUCGAGGAUAGAUGAAAGGUGGCCUCUACAUGUAAGCUAUCACUGAAGGAGGGGAUUGCGUCUGAUUAGCUAGUUGGAGGGGUAACGGCCCACCAAGGCGAUGAUCAGUAGCCGGUCUGAGAGGAGGAACGGCCACAUUGGGACUGAGACACGGCCCAGACUCCUACGGGAGGCAGCAGUGGGGAAUCUUCCGCAAUGGACGAAAGUCUGACGGAGCAACGCCGCGUGAGUGAUGACGGCCUUCGGGUUGUAAAGCUCUGUUAAUCGGGACGAAAGGCCUUCUUGCGAAUAGUGAGAAGGAUUGACGGUACCGGAAUAGAAAGCCACGGCUAACUACGUG
rnacentral:rRNA from 1 species